rnacentral:sRNA from 1 species
CAGUGCGCGCCUAGCAGUGUCCCAGCCGGGUUCGUGUCGCCAUGGGGCAGAUCGAGUGGGCCAUGUGGGCCAACGAGCAGGCGCUGGCGUCCGGCCUGAUCCUCAUCACCGGGGGCAUCGUGGCCACAGCUGGGCGCUUCACCCAGUGGUACUUUGGUGCCUACUCCAUGUAUCCUUCCACCUGAGGCUGGGGUGGGCGGGGAACGCCCAGGGCAGAGCUGGGGAGCCACUUCACAGUGAGCUGUUUGCCUCCACUCUCCACCACCGCAGCCAGGCUGGGACACAGGGUGGGCUGUGCACGGGUUGGGCAGCCCAGGCCCCAGCAGCCAGGCCCCUCGCCUGGACCAUGUGGCGAUCAGUGGCAGACCCGCCAGUCUAAGUCCUGGUGAGUGGUGGGCAGGGGGUGUCACCAGAGGGCCAGGGCCAGCACUGACGCCUCCCUGUUGGACUGCUGGGAUCCCCUCUGCCCGCUCCUGUCAGUCAUCCCCCUUGACCGGCCCCUCUACCUCCUCCGCCCCAUC